AGAGAUGUAUCUUAUAGGUAAAGUAUUGAUCUCCAAAAUCAAAUAAGAGGGUUCAAGUCCUUCCGUCUCUG
rnacentral:tRNA from 1 species